UACGUAGGGUGCAAGCGUUAAUCGGAAUUACUGGGCGUAAAGCGUGCGCAGGCGGUUAUGCAAGACAGAUGUGAAAUCCCCGGGCUCAACCUGGGAACUGCAUUGGAUACUGCCUUGCUAGAGUACUGGAGAGGAAACUGGAAUUUACGGUGUAGCAGUGAAAUGCGUAGAGAUCGUAAGGAAGACCAGUGGCGAAGGCGGCGACCUGGACAAGUACUGACACUCAACUACGAAAGCGUGGGUAGCAAACAGG
rnacentral:rRNA from 1 species